rnacentral:lncRNA from 1 species
AGGGCUUUACCAUAGGAGAGAGAUUGCGGGCCCAGGGUUUAGAGUAUUUUUGUUCCUUAGAUCUCCCCACAUACCCUGGCCUAGUUAGAGAGUUUUAUGGUACUGCCCAUAGGGGCAAUGGGGGAAUAGAGGGAACUGUAGCCGGUGUCCCAUUGUUUAUUUCCGAGGAUUUCAUAGCCCAAAUCCUCCACCUUCCACAAGUAGGGGUAGCUCCCACACACCCCGAGGAUAGGACUGAGGCCCUUACGGCCAUUCUAGGAUAUCCACCCCAGUCCCCCUUAGAUGAGGUGUCCGCUAGCUCACUUUCUGUUGAGAUGCGGCUCCUCCUUAGCAUC